UUGAAGGCAACAGGACAAAUGUACUGCUCAGGGUAACUAGGACUAGCUCUUACCUAACGUAAAGAUUUCCCAUAAUAGAAUUCCAAACGCCCAGAUAUCGCUUUGCGUUGUGUAYACUCGGUCRAACAGAGCCUCAAUGGCGAGCCAUUUAAUAGGCCAAAGUCUGCAAUCUUCAUGACGUAGUCUUCGCCUACCAAGAUGUUCCUGGCUGCUAAAUCCCUAUGAAUACACUACAAUAUAAAGAGAUGAAGGUGGUGUACCAGACGCUUUGCAGUUGAGAUCCAASGGUCGUGARAUGAUGCCAAAAACUCUACCCGAGCCCAUGUCAUUCACAUAAAAUGGUUUUGCUGCAACAGGAAAGAAAACAAUCAUAGGCCAAAGUCUGCGAUCUUCAUGACGUAAUCUUCACCUACCAAGAUAUUGCGGGCUGCUAAAUCUCUGUGAAUACACUACAAAAAAAACAUGAAAGGUACAUGACUUAUCACUUAUUAUAUUCCUAGUAUAUAAACAGCUCUUGGACAAAUCUGUUACGUCAUAACAA